rnacentral:rRNA from 2 species
AGAGCUCAAAUUUUAAAUCUGGCGGUCUCAGGCCGUCCGAGUUGUAAUCUAGAGAAGUGUUAUCCGUGCUGGACCGCAUAUAAGUCCCCUGGAACGGGGCGUCAUAGAGGGUGAGAAUCCCGUCUUUAAUGUGGACUACCAGUGCUCUGUGAUGCGCUCUCAAAGAGUCGAGUUGUUUGGGAAUGCAGCUCAAAAUGGGUGGUAAAUUCCAUCUAAAGCUAAAUAUUGGCGAGAGACCGAUAGCGAA